GCCUCCUCCCUCGUUGGUCAGACUGCCACCCAGCAAAAAUGCCCGCUAACACCUGCACCAGCCUGCAGCAUCUAGCAAUUCGUCAGCAGCAAAUUCAAAUAGCAAGCAUUGUUCUUGGCUUAUAGCGCAUUCAGAUACAAUUUGGUACUCUAAAUUAUGAUAUACAUAGCAUAAAUUUGGACAAGGGGCAGUGUUGUAAAUCAAAGUCAAGAGAACAGUAUAUGAAAGCUGAACUUUGAAGGUGGCCAAUUUAUGAAGGGGAAGGAAAAAGUCUUUGGAUUAACAUUUCUGUAACUUGAUCUUAUCUGACCUGCUCUCCUGUACAUAGGAGGUCACUCUCAUCCUUAUGUAAACACAAGUGAAAAGCUAAAAGGAGAAAUACAGAUAGUGACUCCUCUUCCUCUC